rnacentral:rRNA from 1 species
CUGCCCCCGGGCCUAAUACAUGCAAGUCGUACGCUUCUUUUUCCACCGGAGCUUGCUCCACCGGAAAAAGAGGAGUGGCGAACGGGUGAGUAACACGUGGGUAACCUGCCCAUCAGAAGGGGAUAACACUUGGAAACAGGUGCUAAUACCGUAUAACAAUCGAAACCGCAUGGUUUUGAUUUGAAAGGCGCUUUCGGGUGUCGCUGAUGGAUGGACCCGCGGUGCAUUAGCUAGUUGGUGAGGUAACGGUCUUUCAUCACAAUGGGCCACGGAUGACAUAUGCACGAACCUGAAGUAGGGUGAAUCGGACACACAUUGGGUACUGAGAAGAUCACGGUCCCAUAACUCCCUUACAGGGGAAGGCAGCAGUAGGGAAUCUUCAGGCAUAUGGACGAUAAGUCUGACCGAAGCAAAACGCCGCGUGAGUGGAAGAAAGGUUUUCCGGAAUCGUUAAAACUCUGUUGUUAAGAGAAAGAAACAAGAGAAUGAAGAAGUAAACUGUUCAUCCCUUGACGGUAUCUAACCAGAAAGCCACGGCUAACUACGUGCCAGCAGCCGCGGUAAUACGUAGGUGGCAAGCGUUGUCCGGAUUUAUUGGGCGUAAAGCGAGCGCAGGCGGUUUCUUAAGUCUGAUGUGAAAGCCCCCGGCUCAACCGGGGAGGGUCAUUGGAAAACUGGGAGACUUGAGUGCAGAAGAGGAGAGUGGAAUUCCAUGUGUAGCGGUGAAAAUGCGUAGAUAUAUGGAGGAACACCAGUGGCGAAGGCGGCUCUCUGGUCUGUAACUGACGCUGAGGCUCGAAAGCGUGGGGAGCAAACAGGAUUAGAUACCCUGGUAGUCCACGCCGUAAACGAUGAGUGCUAAGUGUUGGAGGGUUUCCGCCCUUCAGUGCUGCAGCUAACGCAUUAAGCACUCCGCCUGGGGAGUACGACCGCAAGGUUGAAACUCAAAGGAAAUUGACGGGGGGCCCGCACAAGCGGUGGAGCAUGUGGUUUAAUUUCGAAGCAACGCGAAGAACCCUUACCAGGUCUUGACAUCCCUUUGAACCACUCUAGAGAUAGAGCUUCCCCUUCGGGGGCAAAGUGACAUGGUGGUGCAUGGAUUGUCGUCAGCUCGUGUCGUGAGAUGUUGGGUUAAGUUCCCCGCAACGAGCGGCAACCCUUAUUGUUAAGUUGGCCAUCAUUCAGAUUGGGGCAUCUCUAGCCAAGACUGUCCGUGUGUGAACAAACCGGAGGAAGGUGGGGAUGACGUCAAAUCAUCAUGCCCCUUAUGACCUGGGCUACACACGUGCUACAAUGGGAAGUACAACGAGUUGCGAAGUCGCGAGGCUAAGCUAAUCUCUUAAAGCUUCUCUCAGUUCGGAUUGCAGGCUGCAACUCGCCUGCAUGAAGCCGGAAUCGCUAGUAAUCGCGGAUCAGCACGCCGCGGUGAAUACGUUCCCGGGCCUUGUACACACCGCCCGUCACACCACGAGAGUUUGUAACACCCGAAGUCGGUGAGGUAACCUUUUUGGAAGCCAAGCCGCCUAAAGGGGGAAUGAG